rnacentral:hammerhead_ribozyme from 2 species
GUCCAGCUGAUGAGUCCCAACAAGAACGAAACGCGUCCUAGAC